rnacentral:rRNA from 1 species
AUGGCUGGUCUCGAGUUUGUAGUACUGGCAGUGCCGGCGGCAGCGGUGGCGCGGCUAGUGUUCGGGCUCAUCUCGGAUAUUGUGAAGAAGGCGGAGACAGCCCGCCAGAAUAAGCUAGAGUGCAACUACCUAAAGAGGCACGUAUCCCAGAUCGGCAGGCUGCUGCUUCGCCUGCAGCUGCAGGACCCGGAGGUGGCGGAAGCGCUGGCCGGGCUACGCGACACGCUCCAGGAGGCGCACGUUCUCGUCGUCGCUUGCCAGAAAUCGAACAUGGUCAAGGAGAUCUUCUCUGCGGGCGAGCAGGCGAUGAAGUUCACGCAAGUCAACGGCAGGAUCGACUCUCACCUCCUCGUCAUUCAAUUGCUCAGCCAAAUCUCCAUUACCCACCGCCUCGAUCGGAUCCUCUCUCCUAAUCACACCAGCAUACUGGUGCCGUCGCCAGGCUACGGCGACGACUACGGCUCCGGCUCGCGCUCUCUGCAGCUGAAGGAGUCUGCGAAGGUCCCCUAUGUGGGCUCAACCUCAAUGCAUGCAGUUGUCCACUUCACAUCAGCGGAGAUCGCCGUCUUGACCGGGAACUACGGCCAUGUGCUCAGCGAGGACAGCUCCGGAACGGUGUACAAGGGCAUUCUCCACGACGGCCAGGAGGUGGCCGUCAAGAGCCUGAAGAACAAAGGGAGUCAACGAGAGGGUGCGUUCGUGUCGGAGCUCGAGACCCUCUCCCAGCUCCGUCACGACCACAUCUUGCGCCUCGUGGGCUGGUGCUCUGAGGACGACGACCGCAUGUUCAUCUACCAGUACCAGCACAUGAGCAACGGCACGCUCAGGGACCACCUGACGAAGGGCGGAAGCGAAGGCUCUGCCUCUGCGUCACCGGUGACGUCGUCGUGGAAAGCGCGUCUCCAGACGCUGCUGGGCGUGGCCGGUGCCAUCGAUUACCUGCACCGCUUCGCCGUGACGGGGAUCAUCCACCGAAACGUCAGCUCCUCGAGCAUCCUUCUCGACAAGAGCUGUGUGCCUUGCCUGUCGGACUUCGGCGCGGCGAUUUUGCAAGUGCCGACGACGGGCGGCCAGCACGUCGGGGACGUGGUCGGCAGAGUCGGGUACACAGACCCGGAGUACUGCCGCACGAGAUGCGUGAGUCCGGCGAGCGAUGUGUACAGCUUCGGCGUGGUGAUACUCGAGGUGUUGACCGGGAGGCCGCCUAGCUGGGAAGGGAAGCUCCCGAACACCUUGGUUGGCUUUGCCGUCCCGAUCAUCAAGAGUGGGAACCUGCGCUCUGUGCUGGACAGGCGUCCGUCGCCGAAGCCUACGCCCAGACAGAUGGAGGCGCUGGAGCUCGUCGCAUACACGGCAACACGCUGUCUGUGGCAGCAGGAUCGACCCUUCAUGGCAAACGUGGUGAUCAACCUCCAUACGGCGCUCGGGCUCAUAGACGGCGAUGAGCCGAAGCGACUCCAAUGGAGCUAG